UACAGAGGUCUCAAGCGUUGUUCGGAUUCAUUGGGCGUAAAGGGUGCGUAGGUGGCGGGGUAAGUUGGAUGUGAAAUCUCCGGGCUUAACCCGGAAACUGCAUUGAAUACUAUCCCGCUUGAGGUUUGGAGGGGGGACUGGAAUUCUCGGUGUAGCAGUGAAAUGCGUAGAUAUCGAGAGGAACACCAGUGGCGAAGGCGAGUCCCUGGACAACACCUGACACUGAGGCACGAAAGCUAGGGGAG
rnacentral:rRNA from 1 species